GUAUUGGUGGUUCAGUGGUAGAAUUCUUACCUCCCAUGUGGAAGAACCUGGGUUUGAUUCCCUACCAACACA
rnacentral:tRNA from 1 species